UGGUCAAGUUAUUAAGGGUGCAGGGCGGAUGCCUUGGCACUAGGAGCCGAUGAAGGACGUGAUAAGCUGCGAUAAGCUUCGGGGAGUUGCACGUAAACUUUGAUCCGAAGAUUUCCGAAUGAGGAAACUCACUUAGAGUAAUGUCUAAGUAUCAUUAAGUGAAUACAUAGCUUAAUGAGGGGAACUCAGGGAACUGAAACAUCUAAGUACCUGAAGGAAGAGAAAGAAAUUCGAUUCCGUAAGUAGCGGCGAGCGAACGCGGAUUAGCCCAAACCAAUAAAGUUUUCUUUAUUGGG
rnacentral:rRNA from 1 species